rnacentral:rRNA from 1 species
UACUCGAGUGGCGAACGGGUGAGUAACACGUGGGUGAUCUGCCCUGCACUUCGGGAUAAGCUUGGGAAACUGGGUCUAAUACCGGAUAGGAGCCAUCUUUAGUGUGGUGGUUGGAAAGUUUUUUCGGUGUAGGAUGAGCUCGCGGCCUAUCAGCUCGUUGGUGGGGUAAUGGCCUACCAAGGCGGCGACGGGUAGCCGGCCUGAGAGGGUGUACGGCCACAUUGGGACUGAGAUACGGCCCAG